rnacentral:tRNA from 1 species
AAAUGUAAAUUAAGAUUUCUAAUCUUUAAAAAGUGUCUAUCACUACAUUUU